GCCAUGGCCGCGUCCCCCUGCUGGGACCCCCUGGAGACGACGGCGUCGCUGGAGCAGCCGCUCAACGCCCUGCUCUUCAACCGCCGCCUGGCUGCCAGCCUCUGCCAGCUCAUCCAGAGGUGGGGCUGGGGGCUACACGGGGCUGCACGCCGGCACCGGGGGCACCAGCGGCACCCCUGGCACUGACCCAGGCUCGUUGCAGGCACCGGGCGGUGAUCGGGGACAAGGUGGACGUGGAGCACAUCCUGCAGGCUCGCACCAUCCGGGAGUUCGACGAGCGCUACACGGCGCCUGCCUUCGGCUACAGCAGCUGCCGCGAGUACUACCAGGCUGCCAGCCCCGCGCGCCAGCUGCACCGCGUCCGCGUGCCCCUGCUCUGCCUCAACGCCUCCGACGACCCCUUCUGCCCCCUGCACGCCAUCCCGGUGGAGGCCGCCUGGCGCCUGCCCCACGUGGCGCUGCUGGUCACGGCCCACGGCGGCCACAUCGGCUUCCUGGAGGGCCUCUUCCCCCGCCACGGCACCUUCAUGGACCGCGUCUUCACCCAGUUCAUCACCGCCGUCUUCGAGCACGGCGAGGAGCUCCAGCAGCUGGAGGGGGAUGGGGAAGGGGCUGCGGAGCAGGACGGUGCCGGACACCCCCAAUAAACGCGCUCACCCUGCAGGAGCGUGGCCGUGAGCCAGGCAGGGCCAACAAAGCACGAGCACGGCGUGGGCUGAGCUGCUGUGCCCCCCACCACCCCCCAGCACAGACGGGGCCGGCGCUGCCUUCACACUCCGGGUUUAAUGGCAGUGGGCAGGGCGCUGGACCCAGCCCAGCCAGCGGCACGCUGCGCCCCGGGGCCGGCCCCACACCGCACUGCAGCCCAGCACGCUCCCCACAGCCCAGCACCAGCAGGAUGGUGGCCACGAUCAGCCCGGCACAGAGCAGCAGCAGCAGCCAGACAGGGAGGGAGCCUGCAGGGGAGAGCAGGGCCUGAGGGGGGUGCCCGGGGGUCCCGCUGCCUCCUGCGCCUGCAGGACGGGCUGUGUGGCCCCGCUGCGCACGGCGGGGCAGGAGCUGAGCCACCUACGUCUGCCGGGGAGCAGGUGCAGCUUGCAGCGGCUGUCCACAGCCACGCUGAGCAGGGCGGCCUCGUUCCCUGCCAGCAGCUCCCGCCCGCGCUGGCUCUCGGGCACGAAGGCGACGUCGGUGACGACGAUGCCGUGCGCCUCCUUCACGUAGUACAGCCUCUGCAGGGGCAGCAGGGAGGGGGCACGCUCACCCCAGCCCUAAGGGGCAGGGCGGCCCCUGCGCCCCCUCCCCGCGCCCCCUCCCCGCGCCCCUGCUCACCUGCAGCGAGAAGGCGAUGUGGAUGGCCACGGAGCCCGUGACGGUGCCCAGCCCCAGGAACGUGCCCGAGUCACUGCGGAGGUGGGUGAUGGUGAGAGGGGCCGGCGCGGCACCGUGCCCGCACCCAGCCCCACACCGUACCUGACGGAGAGGCAGGACACCACCUCGCUGCCGCAGGGCCGCGUGAGCAGGGGCAGGAAGCUCCUCCCGUCCCACUUGGUCAGGUAGCAGGGCGGCGGGCGGCGCUCCCGCUUGUGGGGCACCUGCACCGUGUAGAGCCGCAGCGCCCCGGCGUUGUCC
rnacentral:lncRNA from 1 species